GUUGUCAGGUUCUAGUAACCGGGUCCCAUUUGUCAUGUUCUGGUAAGUGGGUCCCAUCUAUCAGGCUCAUAUUCUUCAUAUUUGAACCAGUAUUUAAAUGGGCAGACAAAAAGCACACAUAAUACUUCAAAUAAGAGCAACCAGAUCCUUACAAGUGUAAUACAAUGGCAAUCACAGUAAUGACUACAAGUGUAAUACAGUACUUUACAAGCUUUACAAGCAAUCACAAACUGGCACCUGCUCCCGUCAUGAACAUGCCAAACUCACAACAUGCCAAACUCAUUGGACUACCAUAGUGAUAUGAACAACAUGCCGAACUAGCUGGACAACCGUAGUUAGGGCCGGGAACAAACAAAACGGCCUUCAAGAAAACAGACAACAUGCCUUCCUCGGUCGCCCUGUUACAUGAAUCAGUAUAGAAGAAUCAAAAAAACUGGGGCAAAUAUAUUAUGAACAGACCAUUCAAGAAAAGCAUAGUUAUUUAGAAUGAUAACACAAAUUGAGCUAGUACCAUGCUUUUUGUUCUCCAGCUAGUUAAAAUGAGAUACUCGUUCAUACAAGAAAGGUGACUCGCGAAAAUAGAGCAUUCUACUCAUAGCUCGCAGAGUAUCAAUAUUCUGUUCUUAUAAGCUUAUUCUUAUGCCUGAAGCAAGUAAGGAAAUCUGACCAAAUAAGCAACACCUCACUGAUCGUGACUAAAUGGAGCAGAGGAAGGAAAGGAGCUCACCAUGGCUGUUUUUGUAGCCGAUGCCGAACAACACAGCCGCCACCACCGUUGCAUGGAAGCAGCAGAAAAGAGGAGCCUGGCAUGACGAACCCCUUGUACCGAAUCAAAUCAUGCUGCACAAGAAGGACAAGAGAAAAAAGAAGAUAAUCUUGAGGUCAAAUCAAAAAUCAGAAAAAUAAAUCAUGGACUCGAGCACAUUCAUACAUAUACUUAAGUUGUUAAACAGAAUCAUAGAAUGCCGUCAAAGUUUCAUUCCAGAGAAUUAAAGUGUUGGGUAAGAAGCCUGAUGUACAAUUGAUACAAGUUAAUACAAGCCUGAUGUACUACUCUGGGUAAGAAGAAGCAGGUACUUUAGUAGUUUUAGCACACUAAUACAUGUGUUAAAAUGAAAGCGUCGCUGCUGGGUUAUAUUAAUAAAUAAUCCAAGUGUUGCAACACCCAACAAGAUUUGCAUGAACAGAAUAACUAAGUGGAUCAGCAUGAAUGAACAAGCUAAAGGGUCAGUGUCUAAUGUCAGAAUCUACAGCUCAAGAGGAUCCUGUGUGGAUCAAGCCAAAGUGUUAAGGCUACCUUUUACAUCAGUGUCAUGUGUUAUAUUCAAACUGUGUUGCAGCUUAGUUGAGUUGCAAGUAGGACUAUAGUGAAGAUGCUAUUCUAACUUCUGUGACUGAAGAAAAAGACACUGUAUGUACAUCAUCUGUGUUAAACAUUAGUACACAGGGCUGACGCUACUAUACAACCACGAAUUAAAUCACUGGACACCGAGGCCGGAAUGGCGCUAGAGUGGCCCAAGCAGCCAAACAAGGACAGAUUGGAUGAUUUUACCCUCGAGUAAUCUAAGC
rnacentral:lncRNA from 1 species